rnacentral:rRNA from 1 species
GACCGUGCUAAGGUAGCAUAAUCAUUUGCCCUUUAACUGGGGGCUGGUAUGAACGAGAUGACGACGCNUAAAACUUUCCUUAAAAUUUAUGCUAGAAAUUAAUAUCUGCUUUAAAAAGAGCAGCUUAUCGGGGGGACGAUAAGACCCCGUGAAACUUCAUUUUAAGCGCAAUUGGUGAUUUUGAAAAGCACUGUCUUGCGCAAAAAAUUAAGCUGGGGCGGCAUUUAACUGUGAACUUUAAUAGACAAAACACGAAUUAGUGUAGAUUAGAGAUCUUUGUGCAAAAGAGUUAGAACAAGUUACUCCGGGGAUAACAGCACAAUUCUUCCGUAUAGACCUUAUAGAAGGAAGGGACUUGUGACCUCGAUGUUGAAUUGAAGGGACCUUUCUGCGCAGAGGCAGAAUGUGGCCAGGUCUGUUCGACCCUUAAAACUUCA